GAUGAAGAACGUAGCGAAAUGCGAUAAGUAAUGUGAAUUGCAGAAUUCAGUGAAUCAUCGAAUCUUUGAACGCACAUUUCGCCCGCCAGUAUUCUGGCGGGCAUGCCUGUUCGAGCGUCAUUUCAACCAUCAAGCCCCCGGCUUGUGUUGGGGACCUGCGGCUGCCGCAGGCCCUGAAAAGCAGUGGCGGGCUCGCUGUCACACCGAGCGUAGUAGCAUACAUCUCGCUCUGGGCGUGCUGCGGGUUCCGGCCGUUAAACCACCUUCAUAACCCAAGGUUGACCUCGGAUCAGGUAGGAAGACCCGCUGAACUUAAGCAUAUCAAUAAGCGGAGGA
rnacentral:misc_RNA from 1 species